rnacentral:rRNA from 1 species
CACAAGCGGUGGAGCAUGUGGUUUAAUUCGACGCAACGCGAAGAACCUUACCAGGGCUUGACAUCCCCUGACCGCGUAUGAAAGUACGUUUUCACCCUCGGGUGACAGGGAGACAGGUGGUGCAUGGUUGUCGUCAGCUCGUGUCGUGAGAUGUUGGGUUAAGUCCCGCAACGAGCGCAACCCCUACGUUUAGUUGCUAACGCGUGAAGGCGAGCACUCUAGACGAACUGCCGUUGACAAAACGGAGGAAGUGGGAUGACGUCAAAUCAUCAUGCCCCUUAUGUUCUGGGCUACACACGUGCUACAAUGGCCGGUACAGACGGACGCAAAGCCGCGAGGUGGAGCAAAUCCUAAAAAGCCGGUCCCAGUUCGGAUUGCAGGCUGCAAUUCGCCUGCAUGAAGUCGGAAUCGCUAGUAAUCGCAGGUCAGCAUACUGCGGUGAAUACGUUCCCGGGCCUU